AUUUCCUGGGAAUCUUGUUAAAAUGCAGAAUCUCAUCCAUUAGGUCUGAGAUUUUGGAUUUCUAAUCAGUCCCCAAAUGAUGCCAGUGCUGCU
rnacentral:miRNA from 1 species